AACUUAUCAAGAGAGACCGAGGGGUAGGCCCUAUGACGUCCGGCAACCCCCAAUUGGGAAGGUGCCAAGUCCUGCGGAAUGUGAAAGCGUUCCGGAAGAUAAGUC
rnacentral:ncRNA from 2 species